GAUGAACGCUGGCGGCGUGCCUAAUACAUGCAAGUCGAGCGAACGGACGAGAAGCUUGCUUCUCUGAUGUUAGCGGCGGACGGGUGAGUAACACGUGGAUACCCUACCUAUAAGGCUGGGAUAACUUCGGGAAACCGGAGCUAAUACCGGAUAAUAUCUUGAACCGCAUGGUUCAAUAGUGAAAGACGGUCUUGCUGUCACUUAUCGAUGGAUCCGCGCUGCAUUAGCUAGUUGUUAAGGUAACGGCUUACCAAGGCAACGAUGCCUAGCCGACCUGAGAGGGUGAUCGGCCACACUGGAACUGAGACACGGUCCAGACUCCUACGGGAGGCAGCAGUAGGGAAUCUUACGCAAUGGGCGAAAGCCUGACGGAGCAACGCCGCGUGAGUGAUGAAGGUCUUCGGAUCGUAAAACUCUGUUAUUAGGGAAGAACAUAUGUGUAAGUAACUGUGCACAUCUUGACGGUACCUAAUCAGAAAGCCACGGCUAACUACGUG
rnacentral:rRNA from 1 species